rnacentral:lncRNA from 1 species
GUGGGUGGGGGGAAGAAGUUGAAAUUGAGUUGAAAUGCUUCCUCGCUGGGUUAUUAAAAAUAUAUAAAGUGAGUAAGUGGCAGUAAUAAGGGUUCCGAUUCCGGUAAUAAUAAUUGUUGGGGUAGAUCAGUUAAGUAGGGUGGAGAUAAUAAAUAGUUCGCCAAGUAGGUUGAUUGUUGGGGGUAUAGCCAUAUUAGUUAGGUUAAUAAGAAGUCAUCAGGUUGAUAUUAGUGGGAAGGCCAAUUGUAGGCCUCGAACUAGGAGAAGUGUUCGGGUGUGUGUACGUUCAUAGUUGGUGUUUGCUAGGGCAAAAAGGGCUGAUGAUGUCAGGCCAUGUGCAACUAUUAAGGUUAUAGCUCCAGUUAAUCCUCAUGGUGUUUGUACAAUAAUAGCAGCGGUUACAAGACCUAUGUGACUUACGGAUGAGUAAGCAAUAAGAGCUUUUAGGUCUGUUUGUCAUAGGCAGAUUGAGCUGGUUAUUAAAAUGCCUCAGAGGGCGAGGAUAAUAAUUGGAAAUAUUAGAUUAGGGGGGUGAGGGUUUAGUACGGAUGAGAUGCGAAUUAAGCCGUAGCCCCCCAGUUUUAAUAAAAUAGCAGCUAGGACCAUUGAGCCAGCGAUUGGGGCUUCUACAUGUGCUUUUGGGAGUCAGAGGUGAAGACCAUAUAAGGGCAAUUUAACUAGGAAGGCUGAAAGGCAGGCAAAUCAGAGCAUGGGGCUAGAGUCUGUGGAAAGUAGUUCUGGUUGAGUUAUAAAUAGAAGUUCUAUUGAGGCAUAAGAGUAUUUAUUAUUAAAAUAUAAGAGUGUGAUUAAGAGUGGUAAGGAGCUUGUUAGGGUAUAGAAUAAAAAAUAAAGGCCGGCGUUUAAGCGUUCAGCUUGGUUACCUCAACGUGUAAUAAUAAUCAGGGUAGGAAUUAGGGUUGUUUCAAAUAAAAUAUAGAAUAAAAUAAAUUCUGAGGCUGCAAAGGUUAUGAUUAGGGUUGUUUGUAGUGUUAUUAAAGUUAUUAAGAAAGUUCGUUUACGGGUUAAGGGUUCGGUUUUUAAGUGGUUUUGGCUGGCUAGAAUUAUGAGUGGUAAUAGUCAGCAGGAUAAAAUAAUUAGAGGGGAGGAGGUGGGAUCAAUAUUAAAAUAUAUGGUUGUGUUGGAGAUUUUUAGGAGUAUAGGGUGGUUAAAUAAUAUAAGACUUGAAAGUGCUAAUAAUAUAGAAUAUGCAGUUAAAGUUGGGAAUAGGAUUUUUGAGUUUAGUAAGAAGGCUGAGGGAAUUAGGAGGGCAGUUGGAAUAAUAAUUUUUAACAUUUUAGUAAGUUUAGGGUUUUUAUAUGAUCUGUUCCAUGUGUUCGGGAAGUUGCGACUAGGAGGGCAAGACCAGUGCUGGCUUCACAGGCAGAUAGUGCUAGAAGUAAAAUAGGUAAUAUGGCAGUAGUUGGGGUGUUUGUAAAGGUUGUGAAUAUGGCUAAUAUUAAGAAAAGAAUUAAUAUGAUGCCUUCAAGACAAAUUAAAAUAGAUAUAAAGUGAGUUCGGUGAAUGGAUAAGCCUAGGAGUCCCAGUAAAAAUAUGAUGUUUAAUAG